GGCUCAGGAUGAACGCUGGCGGUAUGCUUUACACAUGCAAGUCGUACGAGAGUUUUUAACUCAAGUGGCGGACGGGUGAGUAACACGUAAGAAUUUGCCUUUAGGAGGGGGAUAACAACUGGAAACGGUUGCUAAUACCCCAUAUGCUUUCGAGUGAAAUGGAUUUUUCCGCCUAAAGAGAAGCUUGCGGCUGAUUAGCUUGUUGGUAAGGUAAUGGCUUACCAAGGCGACGAUCAGUAUCUGGUUUGAGAGGACGAUCAGACACACUGGAACUGAGACACGGUCCAGACUCCUACGGGAGGCGGCAGUGGGGAAUUUUCCGCAAUGGGCGAAAGCCUGACGGAGCAAUACCGCGUGAGGGAUGACGGCCUAUGGGUUGUAGACCUCUUUUUUCAGGGAGGAAUAAAAUGACGUGUACCUGAAGAAUAAGCAUCGGCUAACUCCGUGCCAGCAGCCGCGGUAAGACGGAGGAUGCAAGUGUUAUCCGGAAUCACUGGGCGUAAAGCGUCUGUAGGUGGUCUAAUAAGUCAACUGUUAAAUCUUGAGGCUCAACCUCAAAAUCGCAGUCGAAACUAUUAGACUAGAGUAUAGUAGGGGUAAAGGGAAUUUCCAGUGGAGCGGUGAAAUGCGUAGAGAUUGGAAAGAACACCGAUGGCGAAGGCACUUUACUGGGCUAUUACUAACACUCAGAGACGAAAGCUAGGGUAGCAAAUGGGAUUAGAUACCCCAGUAGUCCUAGCUGUAAACCAUGGAUACUAGAUGUUGGACAGAUCGACCUGUGCAGUAUCAAAGCUAACGCGUUAAGUAUCCCGCCUGGGAAGUAUGCUCGCAAGAGUGAAACUCAAAG
rnacentral:rRNA from 1 species